CAGUUCAGAUUUAAACCACCAAUGGCAAUGUAUCUACUGGAGACUAAUUCCUUACCCGUAUAGCUUCCUGCGUGAAGUUUCGACCACUUUUAUUAAUCAUGUGAUCUUCCACUGCAGGGAAAGCAAUCAGUCAUAGACGCUCAGACAGCGUCCCGCUGAACAGUUGGCAACUCGCACUGCAGUUUGAGGUCGACAAGUCAGUGUAACUUUGGAAAACACCACUAUCAAUCUUCCCCACAUGACUGCUUGGCAUGAAACAGGGCUUCCAGCGAGAACUGAUGAAAAGGGAAAUUCAAGGAUGGAGUAACAUGGCAAGGAGCUGGAGAACGGAUGUCCGCAGACUACUGACUUCGGGAGGAAAAAGACCAGCCCAGAAAAUCUCCGCCCCCAAGCUCACCUGGCCUGUAGGGGUCGCCGUAGAACGGUGAAAACAGUCUAAGCCAGAUCCCACCUCCCAACCCCGGGAGGGCCAAAGCCAAUGCAGCGCCCCCACGAAAUCCCCAACGAAGACCGGCUGCCUCGCACAAGCAGGAUUGAAACUUGCGAUCUGGUUAUACGACUCACCCUGCAUGCUGCACAGCAGAGCUUUCACCAGGUGAGCCAUUCAGGGACCUCCCACUGAAAUCAUUUGAACUUGCCAAAGAAAUCAUUACUGCCAGCUUUUCUACAACAGAGCGUGUCUACCUGUUUUUGUGCAAUCAUGUUCGUUAUAGUAUAAAUAAUCUGCUUUUUCCAGUGGAUGACAAGGUGUUUUUUUUUUGUUUUUUUUAAACUGGGGUUAUUUAUGACGAAUCUUAUUAUGCCAAGAGAGCUACACAGCUCAAUGUGCAGUCACUGCACAUAUGAUAGAAAGCACCUGUGCUGGCCCAUGCUCCCCUCCACUAAAUCACAAGAAACUGGGUCCACAGACUGACAGAUCCGGAGAUGAGGUCCUCAGUCGACAUACCAGCGACUCACUCAGACGUACAGCUGUCAGACCAGGUCCAGGAUGUAUGAUGGGAACCUGGGACCCAGGGCAGGCUUUUGAAAGAUGACACUUGAUUUGUUAAUUGAGAGAUAACAGUUCAAGGGAAUGUGGGAAGAAAGGCUCUGUAAGUGAUAGAGCUGUCUUACUUAUUCACCCGUUCUGAAGUGAUUGAAACAUGGCCCAAUGCAAACAAGGAUGUACAGUACCUACAAAAUACAAAUCUCCACUAGAAGUAACGUUGAACAAAAGCAAGGAUUAUAUUGGUCUGCAAAGAAAAUAUGGACAGUAAUGAAAUAUGAGGGGAUUUGUUUUAUUUCUUGUAUAUUGACGCCAGCACUGUGGAUCAUAAACAGGGCUAUGUAGGAACAUGUUUGCGGUCAGAUCCUCUCAGAUGUCUGACCCUUUGGUUCACUGGUGCACCAGCCAGCUUACAAUGGGAAUAUGUUUGCUCCCUGUGGAGAACAACUACAGAAUUGUGUCUGCUUUGUCAACCAAUUGGGUUUGACUUGAAAUACACAGAUACAUAUACAUCUGUUUUUAAAACUUAGAAUAGAGCCUUGAAGAGUACUGCGUUCUCAACAGUGAUCUCUUUAUUUAUUUCGGCAUGUGUUUUCCCCAGGGUUGCCCCCUAUUUAGAUUAUUAAAUGAUAAGAUCCCCAUAGUUAAAGCGUUUCCCAUGUACGUGAACUGAUUAAUCCCUUUAUAAACACGUCAGGCAGUUUUGUAACGUCCUUGUUGAUACUGUAGGCUGUGUUUCGCAGUUCAUCAUCUAGAAGCGGCAGGAACCUGACGUCAACCCGAGAAAACAAGGGGCUCGUUCGUCAAAGGGGCUCUGUCAAGGGUCACCAGGCCCACCUAAUGAUGCACAACAUGCAGGCCCGGUAUCACAGGCUCUAAUCUCUUCAGUUAUCUGUGGUAGAAAGCAGGAUUGCUGUUAUCACCUCGAAGUUACAGGCAAUUCAGCCACAAAGGAAGAUGCUUGUUACAACCAUUGUUCUGACUGGCAAAAACAUGAUACUUUGGAUUUUCUGUUGCACCCUUUACUUGUAGUAAUCUGUAGACUUGUAGACUUUCACUCUUUACAGGGAUUAAAACUAUGUUGUCCAAAAGCUAAAGACAAAAUACUUUUUCUUUUUUUUUACACAAAGAAACAUUUUGAUUACAUUAGAAUAAAUAGUGCACUAUUUCAUGUGACUAUAUUCCUUUGUCAGGGCAGUGAGUAGAUUUUGUAGGGUCAUUUUUCUGCUGUGUCAAACUCCUUGACACUGCAUUUAGUUUGGGUCACUUUAAUGGGACUUUGAUCAGUUCAUACGUUGAUGUAAUAGCCACAGCUGGAUGGGUGUGUGCUGUACACGCAUGGUGAAAAAGCAAUUAAAUAAAUGAAUCAUUUUCUUUUCUCGCU